AGAGUUUGAUCCUGGCUCAGAUUGAACGCUGGCGGCAUGCUUUACACAUGCAAGUCGAACGGCAGCACGGGGGCAACCCUGGUGGCGAGUGGCGAACGGGUGAGUAAUGCAUCGGAACGUAUCCUUGAGUGGGGGAUAACGCAGCGAAAGUUGUGCUAAUACCGCAUAAGCUCUGAGGAGGAAAGCGGGGGACCGAAAGGCCUCGCGCUGAAGGAGCGGCCGAUGUCCGAUUAGCUAGUUGGUGGAGGUAAGGCUACAGGCGACGAUCGGUAGCGUGGUCUGAGGAGGAUGAUCACGCCACACGUGGGACUGAGACGACCGGCCCAGACCUCCGUACGGGAGGCGAC
rnacentral:rRNA from 1 species